AAGUGCACUAAAAUCAAAACACAUCUUUUGAACUGCACCUCUCCAUUACAUCAUUUCAUUGCUUAUAAAUUUAGAGGCCUAGCCUCACAUUUAUACAUAGAAAUUUGAAUUCUUUCUCCUUCUAAAUUUUCCUCUACAUUAGUUUUCAAGACAAAAAGUAUAGUAGAAUCGUGUGAUUUGUUAUUGAAUUUGCGUUCGAUGAAGUUAGUGGUGUUUGAGAUACCGUUAUGCCAUUAACAUGUAUAUCCAAUUUAUCCUGCAAAUGGUGACGACAGCAUGGUGGGAAAGAGAAGAGAAAUUGGUCGGUGUAUGUUGGUAGACUGGCGGCAAUGGAUGACACGACAGAGAAGGAGGGAGGUGGAUGGUGGCAUGGAGAGAAAGAGGGGAAAAAAACACUUUUUUUUUUAGAAAACAAUUGCUUCUCACACGCUUUUGAAUUAGUGUGGUACACCUGCUGUCUAUGUGAGCAACAAAUGUUAAAAUAGGCACAAUUUGAUUCAAGUUCAGCUGCUUAAUAGGUAUAGCUUUCAGUUUCGGUAUCCAGUUGGAAAAAUCAGACAAGGGAGUAGGAUUGUAGUGGGUAUGUUGUUAUUGAGAUAAUUUAACCACAUAUUUAUCUAAAGCUUGUUUUAGAUCACAAAUUUCAAAAAUUUCAUUUCUUCGAGUCUAAUCAAAUGAUGCCACAUAAAUUGGGACGGAAGGAGUACUUUUUAGGAUAGUGAAAGGAGAAGAAGGACAAUAAAAAUUGAACUCACACCUAGUAUAUGAAAUAUUUUUGCCAAUAUUACUAGAUUGUAAGGCUCUAUGCAAAAGAUCGUAUUUCUCAAGUGUGUGAGAAGGAGAAGAAGGACAAUAAGAAUUGAACUCAACUCACACCUAUCAUGUGAAAUACGUCCCCCGAUCUUCUAGAUCGUAAGCUUGGGUACAAAAGAACAUGCUGGAAUCGUUCCUUCAACUUAAUAUGUGUGACAUUUUUUAAUUGUAAUGAUUAGUAUAAAUUUUAUCUUAUUUUCAGCUGAGCUCAAAUAUUAUGAAAAUCUAGACGUAGCACUAAAUAACAUAUUCUUUUA